rnacentral:rRNA from 1 species
GGAUGAACGCCGGGCGGUGUGCCUAAUACAUGCAAGUCGAGCGCACUGGCCCAACUGAUAUGAUGUGCUUGCACUGAUUUGACGAUGGAUCACCAGUGAGCGGCGGACGGGUGAGUAACACGUGGGCAACCUGCCCUGGAGCGGGGGAUAACAUUUGGAAACAGAUGCUAAUACCGCAUAACAAUCAAAACCACAUGGUUUUGAUUUCAAAGAUGGCUUCGGCUAUCACUUCAGGAUGGGCCCGCGGUGCAUUAGCUAGUUGGUAAGGUAACGGCUUACCAAGGCGAUGAUGCAUAGCCGAGUUGAGAGACUGAUCGGCCACAAUGGAACUGAGACACGGUCCAUACUCCUACGGGAGGCAGCAGUAGGGAAUCUUCCACAAUGGGCGCAAGCCUGAUGGAGCAACACCGCGUGAGUGAAGAAGGGUUUCGGCUCGUAAAACUCUGUUGUUGAAGAAGAAUGUGCGUGAGAGUAACUGUUCACGCAGUGACGGUAUUCAACCAGAAAGUCACGGCUAACUACGUGCCAGCAGCCGCGGUAAUACGUAGGUGGCAAGCGUUAUCCGGAUUUAUUGGGCGUAAAGCGAGCGCAGGCGGUCACUUAAGUCUGAUGUGAAAGCCUUCGGCUUAACCGAAGAAGUGCAUCGGAAACUGGGUGACUUGAGUGCAGAAGAGGACAGUGGAACUCCAUGUGUAGCGGUGGAAUGCGUAGAUAUAUGGAAGAACACCAGUGGCGAAGGCGGCUGUCUGGUCUGCAACUGACGCUGAGGCUCGAAAGCAUGGGUAGCGAACAGGAUUAGAUACCCUGGUAGUCCAUGCCGUAAACGAUGAGUGCUAGGUGUUGGAGGGUUUCCGCCCUUCAGUGCCGGAGCUAACGCAUUAAGCACUCCGCCUGGGGAGUACGACCGCAAGGUUGAAACUCAAAUGAAUUGACGG